rnacentral:hammerhead_ribozyme from 1 species
AUUCAGCUGACGAGUCUCAAAUAGGACGAAAUGCGUGUCUUGAAU